UCACUUACCUGGUAGAGAUACCAUGAUCAUGAAUGGUAUUCACCCAGACAGGCUCAGCCAUUGCACUUCGAAGAAGGAUCUGCAAGGACCUCAAAUGUGGGAAUCUCACUGCAUAAUUUGUGGUGGUGGUGGGGGACUGCGCCCGCGCCUUCCCUGA